rnacentral:rRNA from 1 species
CCUACGGGGGGCUGCAGUAAGGAAUAUUGGUCAAUGGACGCAAGUCUGAACCAGCCAUGCCGCGUGGAGGAUGAAGGUCCUCUGGAUUGUAAACUUCUUUUAUUUGGGACGAAAAAAGGUCUUUCUAGAUCGUCUGACGGUACCAGAUGAAUAAGCACCGGCUAACUCCGUGCCAGCAGCCGCGGUAAUACGGAGGGUGCAAGCGUUAUCCGGAUUUACUGGGUUUAAAGGGUGCGCAGGCGGAUAUGUAAGUCAGUGGUGAAAUCUUUAGGCUUAACCUGAAAAUUGCCGUUGAUACUAUAUAUCUUGAAUGCUGUGGAGGUAAGCGGAAUAUGUCAUGUAGCGGUGAAAUGCUUAGAUAUGACAUAGAACACCUAUUGCGAAGGCAGCUUACUACGCAGAUAUUGACGCUCAUGCACGAAAGCGUGGGGAUCAAACAG